rnacentral:rRNA from 1 species
GACGAACGCUGGCGGCGUGCUUAACACAUGCAAGUCGAACGGAAAGGCCCUGCUUUUGUGGGGUGCUCGAGUGGCGAACGGGUGAGUAACACGUGAGUAACCUGCCCUUGACUUUGGGAUAACUUCAGGAAGCUGGGGCUAAUACCGGAUAGGAGCUCCUGCUGCAUGGUGGGGGUUGGAAAGUUUCGGCGGUUGGGGAUGGACUCGCGGCUUAUCAGCUUGUUGGUGGGGUAGUGGCUUACCAAGGCUUUGACGGGUAGCCGGCCUGAGAGGGUGACCGGCCACAUUGGGACUGAGAUACGGCCCAGACUCCUACGGGAGGCAGCAGUGGGGAAUAUUGCACAAUGGGCGGAAGCCUGAUGCUGCAACGCCGCGUGCGGGAUGACGGCCUUCGGGUUGUAAACCGCUUUCGCCUGUGACGAAGCGUGAGUGACGGUAAUGGGUAAAGAAGCACCGGCUAACUACGUG